CUAAAUUUUAGCUUGGUGAUUUGAAAACACUGGGACUUCGAAUUUAUCCUUUUUCUCUUUGUCAGAGCCUGUGGAAGCACGGAAACUGUGACAUCCCUGAUUUAGCACUGAAAGAAAGCUCAGGAGAAGCGUUGUAAAUACAUGCUCUGUUCUUCUGCUCUACCAGGACCCCCAAUUUGAUCACUGUCAGAUACAAAACAUGGACUAGGUAGACUUUGGUGUGAUUCUUGGUCUUAGUGGUAUCUUCUAGACACCAUACCUAAUUCCUCCCUCUAAUAUGUUAAGAGAAAAGGUAGAUUUAAGGUUCACAGAUCCAGCUUUGAGCAAGCUUAUGUAUGAAUGAUCAUAUCAAUUCAACCUUAUCAGGAUGGUUGGUAUGCACAAGCUUACCUAAGGUAAGAACGUGGCCCUAUUUCAUCAGGAAGACUGUUAGUGGAGGCAGCUGUUUUUAUUCACUAAGUACCAGCUUUUCCAUUUCUAACCAUGUUCAGAAACAUAAGUUCCUUCUGUUUCUGUGUAUUCAAUGGGAAUAUUAUGUCUUCUCAAAAUUACAUUAAAGUCUACAUUAGUAGACUUUACAUCAGUCACUUGGAACAAAUCUCAGUGAUUUCUGUCUGGUACAAGCAGCACAAACACGAAUUGCGUUUCCUCUGACCCACUGUGUAUUCCGAAGUUAUUUGUAUGUAACUUAAGGGUAAAUUUGAUCACUCCUGAGGUCAUCAAAGGAACUUGAAUAACUACAGCCAUCAUUUAGAUAUCGCCAGUUGCCUCAAAACAGUUGCAGAGACAUCCAUCUAGUGUUGCUAAACAUGAAUGUCAGUGCCUUCAGUGUGGCCUGCUAAUAGCCAAGUGACAAACAGUUUAAGUAAUGCCCUUGCCUCCUAGCUUUCACAGUGUGCUCAUACUUCAGGAGAAGUGAAGGUUACAGUGCACAGGACAACCAAUCCUUUUGAUGGAUUAAGAGUGAAAGGAGGAGUUUGACCUCCUGCAGAUCACCUGGCUGGAAUAUUUGGCAGCGUUUUAGGACAUCAGUAUCCCAAACAUUGAUGUUUGUGAUACUCUGGGGGCAGGCUAUAGAAAAGCAUAAAAGUAUGUAUGUUUUAAUUUAUGUGUAUUAAUACUACCAGCUUACUCGGUGCCAAGCUGGUGGUCAGUCUCUGGGGUUCACAGUGCAUCUGUUUCAGGAUUUGGUUGGGG